rnacentral:rRNA from 1 species
GACGCUGGCGGCGUGCCAAUACAGUGGAAGUCGAACGAGGUAGCAAUACCGAGUGGCGAACGGGUGAGUAACACGUAGGUAACCUGCCCUUAAGCUUGGGAUACCCAGAGGAAACUUUGGCUAAUACCGGAUAACAACAGAGAAGGCAUCUUCUUUGCUUAGAAAGGCCCCUUCAAGGGUCACUUAAGGAUGGGCCUGCGGCGCAUUAGCUAGUUGGUGAGAUAACAGCCCACCAAGGCGAGGAUGCGUAGCCGAACUGAGACGGUUGAUCGGCCACAUUGGAACUGAGACACGGUCCAAACUCCUACGGGAGGCAGCAGUAAGGAGUUUUCGGCAAUGGGGGAAACCCUGACCGAGCAACGCCGCGUGAGCGAUGACGGCCCUAUGGGUUGUAAAAAGCUCUGUUGUAAGUCCAUGGAAUGACAGCUUGAGGAAAUGCAAGUUGUUUGACGACAGCUUACCAGAAAGCCACGGCUAACUACGUGCCAGCAGCUGC